AAGUGUAGUGAGAACCACUGCUUUACAAAUACUGAUUUUGGUAGCCAAAGACUUCUAUUCUGCCAUAUUAUCAAUGUUAAAUGUAUAAAAAAAAAAAUUGAAUCUCUUUUUUCCCCAUUUCAACAUUAUUUGAGUUAAAUCUAGAAAAAAAAAUCUGAAUUCCCUACACAACCCACACUGCCAUCAUCAUAUAUUAAUAAGGAUCAAGUUUUUUUUAAAAAACCUUCUUAUCUAGCUUACACAACCCACACUGCCAUCAUCAUAUAUUAAUAAGGAUCAAGUUUUUUUUUAAAAACCUUCUUAUCUAGCUUACACAACCCACACUGCCAUCAUCAUAUAUUAAUAAGGAUCAAGUCUUUUUUAAAAAACCUUCUUAUCUAGCUUACAUAAAAAAUAUACUACAAAUAAUCUAGAGGAUGUAUAGGUCAGUACUUUUCAAUGUCACUCUAAAAAAAAAAAUAAAAAAAAAUAAAGCCCAUAGGCUACUUAGCACUUUGUCUGCACAUUCUUGAAUCCAGUCCAUUCACUCAGAACUCAAUCCUCUCCCUUCUCCUGACAUCAGCUGAUCACUUCCCCUCCCCUUUACCCAAUUUCCCCUCUCUAGUGCUCUGUAUUUUUGUCCUUAACUUUAAUUUGUUUUACCCCAACAUUCCCCCCACCUCAUUUAUACAGCUUGUGCUGUUCUCUUCAUGGAAAUAUAUGUCCAUUUAACUUCCCCCUCUUUCAGGUAAUUUGCUGACAGGGAUAAAUCUACAAUGUAGUAACUCCAACGGCGGACUGAAAGGGUUAAGUUGUGUGCGGCCUACUGACACACACCACUCAGGCCAAUCACACAGGUCAAGGUCUGUUGAACAAGGGACAGUACUGCUAGUGCACGCAAGUAUGACCCGUGCUGUGGUCAUGUGACCAAAAGCCUUUACGGUCGAGAAACAAUGUGUAAAGAAAGGACAGUUGAGUCCAGGACACCAAAGCAGUAAGGACUGUGUGAUACCUUUGAGUCCUCGAGAAUGUAGCUGUACGAGCAAGAGAGACUUGUAAUGUUUAGUCAGGCAGUUCUGUUAAGUAUAAGAAAGCAUUUGAAGUUAGUGUAGCCAACUGUGUUGAAUUGGCUGUUGAUGUAAUUGUAAUUAAAAUGUCACAUUGUUA